GAGCACAUCCAAUUCUCUGAAAUUAGUUCACAUAGGCACUGAUACAGAUCAUGUUUUCCUUUAAUGGUGAAUGACUUUAUAAUGAAGCAGAAACAUAUAAUGUAUUCCAUGCAACCAACCUCAUUUAUUGAAAAGUCCUAAUUUUAUUGCCUUGUUUAGUAACAUGUUUGUUCAACAAACUAAUCUUUUUCAUGAAGCAAAGCACAACUUUUUCUUAUAAAUAGUAUAAAUUAUUUUAUUUACAGAAACUUGUUACAAAACAAAUAGACUAUAUAUUUAUUUUUCUUUUAAAUAUCCAAAGUAAUUUUUCUAUCCCAUGACAUUUGUUCAUGUACUAUACAGCAGCCAACACAGAGUUCAGCUGAUCAGAUGCUCUUGAUUAUGUAUACAAAUUAUCGAACUAUUCACACAUUUUACACAGGAGAUUGCUUUUAGAACCAGGCUCAACACCGAGCAAGAUGCUUUCAAGGCCUACAUUCACAUUGACAUUAUGUAGUGCUCAUUGUAAAAUUACCUUUAAAACGUAAAAUAUCUUGCACAAAAGGUAAAAAUAACUCUUUUCUGCUGGACAGUGAAACAUUUAAGAAUCUUUCUAAGCCCAAUUCCCUCCUCCAGGACAGAAUGAGUGAAAGACGAGAAAGAGAUUCCUUGGCAAGAGAACUCUUACAGGAAGACAACUGCCUUAAAAAUGCCAUGUGGAAACCACAUCUUUGUUUUUUAAUGGUUUCAAGAGGUACUUACUUGGUUUUGUUUGUUUGUUUUCCUGGAAUACCAGCUAUUUCGGACAUUUUCCAAGUUAUUUCAUUUACGAAUAACCCCCAUCUCUUCCCCAAAUGAGACAGUUAAAUAAACUGCUGGUUAAAACCAUAUUUCAAACCCUUGGCGUUGUACUAAAUAGGAGUUAUCAAUGGGGUUGUUCCAACACAAGGUAUUCUAAUUAAAAGAUUUUACAAAAGUUACCAGCAUCAUUCGCUUUCUUUUGUCAAUCCAUUAAUUUCAGGAAAUAUACAUAUAUGUGGAAAAAGCAAGCUCCAAAAUUUCAACUGAACAUUCAAGUCUUUUAAGGAGAAGCUGUCUAAACAGUCCAAGCUUUAAAACUAGUUAUAUCAGGCACUUUCAGUUUUUCCGUUAGUUUUACACCACAUGAGACCCACACGGAUGCGCACGCACACACACAAACACUAAAAUAAAAUAAAAUAAAAUUAAACAAACUGAGAAGCAGUGUGUCACUUCACUAAAUGUCAUCUUCCGGGAAUCAGGCAACUGAUAAGCAACGCCGGAGCGAGAUUUGGGCCCCGAUCCUGCGCUCGGGGUCCGGCGGCAGAGCCCGGGCACAGGACCCGGGUGGCGCUGGCCGUGGAUUCACUCCCAAGACGUGAAAAGGGACACGGCUUUCACAAAAACGGAGGCAUCCCUUCAGUUCGCAAAAGUAGGCAUGUUAAACUAUUGGCUUGGCAGUGAACCACUUCAAAUUAUAAAAAGGUAUUUGCUUCCCCCC